UUUUUAGCCAGUAUUUCAAUUUUUAGAUUACAUGUUUGAAUAUUUCAUGCUCCAAAGUUAUUUGAUAUUUCAAUGAAAAGCUGUGGAAAUCCAAAUGUUUAUGAAAUUCUAUUGCUUUACAAAAGUUUUGACAAAGAAAAUUUCCAUAAAGUCAAUCUUGUGCAAUCUAAUUCAUAUUUCGAUGUGCCCCAUGUAACAAAUAUUCAACAUAGUAUGCCAGUUUUGUUUGAAAACAAUAACAAAUAGAAAUACAAGAAAUAUCAUAUUUAGCCAGAAUCCCAUUUAGAAACCAAAUGACGAUGGUACCAGCCCACUGAAACGGAUUAGUUACACAAUGCAAACAUUGUGCAUCAAUCUCGGCAAUUUUUUUCCCCUGAUCCUCCGGAAAAAAUAAGUCCGGAAAAUUCUCGGCAGAACAAUUGCAAUUUGGAUUGGAAAUCUGACUGUCACACGACUCAGCUCAGCUUGGACUCUCCGCCCCUUGCCAAUCUCCUACCAUCAAUAAAACUCGACAGGCAACCCAGAGGAGACAAGAAAAUUAUGAUGCGGCUUGGUUGGAGAGCUUACUCAGGGGUUGUGGGACCGGAUGCGGAGCCUUGAGCAAAUAAAGAUGUUUUUUCCAUGUUUCGCAGACGCCAGCAGCAUCAAUACGCAUCAAUCCCCGCCAGCAUUCUCCGCAGAUCCACUGGACCCCUUUCUCAUCCGAGGCAGACGCCUAGGACGUGCUUAAUCUGCAAUCAGAGGCGGAAGUUGGUCUCCUCCCAGCGUCCUCCAUCGACCGUCUGUCUCGUUGGCUUUCGGUCCAGCUUAGAGUCCUGUCCCCGUCUUUAUUUCAGUUGCAGUCUGAGCCCUGGCCUGAUACCCUUGGAAGGGGUGCCAUUACUUGCACCAAAAAGUGAUUCUUUCGAGACUCAUUUAACAAUAGAAAAAAUAAAAAGUAAUAAAUUGACGCAAUAAGUAAUAAUUUCUAUUCAUAUGAUUACGAUUCAAUAAUAAAGAGAAACAAAGAUAUAGAAAAAGUGGAAUAAAUGAAGGCAAGGUUUAAUUUCGCACGAAUUCGGAAUAAAAGAUUUUUAAAACCA